rnacentral:lncRNA from 1 species
GUUCGUCUUCAAUGGUUCUUCAAAAGUCAUCAUCUAUAGGUGUUUCGCUUGUGUUUCUGUAGUUUUCUCCACCAACCUUGUUCCUACUCUUGAGGUGGUGCAUUGCAGUUUGUUCCACGAAUCCACUGUCAAUCUGAGUACAGGCACCUUCGCUUAGAUGGACAUACAUCUGGUGGAGACCAUGGGGCCUUAAUUGAUCAGUUUAACAAUCCAGGAUCACCAUUUUUCAUAUUCCUGCUCAGGAUAUCAACGUGAAGAUCGAGAGGACAUUAUGGUGAUGUCAAAAGAAGUUGAGUAUAGUCAGUUGGCUGGUGUAGCGACAAUAAGUAGUAAGUGCUGGAAACUAUGAAGU